UCAUGUUGGUUUCAUACUCACGGUCAUAAAAUGGCCACCCCAGAUCCUGGAGUCCCAUCCACAUCAAGGAGAUGACCAUUCCCCCGGAGAAGAGGAAAGGAAGAUUCAGGAAGAUGAAGCCAGCAAGUCGCCUAAGGCUACACAGCUGUAGAU